rnacentral:rRNA from 1 species
AGAGUUUGAUCAUGGCUCAGGACGAACGCUGGCGGCGUGCCUAAUACAUGCAAGUCGAGCGGACCUUUCGGGGUCAGCGGCGGACGGGUGAGUAACACGUGGGCAAUCUGCCCGAUACUCUGGGAUAACGCUUGGAAACGAGUGCUAAUACCGGAUGGUCUUCUUGGCCGCAUGGCCGAGAAGGAAAAGACGCGUUCGCGUCGGUGUCGGAUGAGCCCGCGGCGCAUUAGCUAGUUGGUGAGGUAACGGCCCACCAAGGCGACGAUGCGUAGCCGACCUGAGAGGGUGACCGGCCACACUGGGACUGAGACACGGCCCAGACUCCUACGGGAGGCAGCAGUAGGGAAUCUUCCACAAUGGGCGAAAGCCUGAUGGAGCAACGCCGCGUGAGUGAUGAAGGCCUUCGGGUUGUAAAACUCUGUCAUCCGGGACGAACCGGAGUCUGAGGAAAUGCAGACUCUCUGACGGUACCGGAGGAGGAAGCCCCGGCUAACUACGUGCCAGCAGCCGCGGUAAUACGUAGGGGGCAAGCGUUGUCCGGAUUCACUGGGCGUAAAGCGCGCGCAGGCGGUGAUGUAAGUCUGAGGUGAAAACCCGAAGCUCAACUUCGGGACUGCCUUGGAUACUGCGUCACUUGAGGAUAGGAGAGGCAAGGGGAAUUCCACGUGUAGCGGUGAAAUGCGUAGAGAUGUGGA